rnacentral:rRNA from 1 species
UAACGGCCCACCAAACCGACGAUGGAUAAGGGUUCUGAGAGGAAGGUCCCCCACAUUGGUACUGAGACACGGACCAAGCUCCUACGGGAGGCAGCAGUGAGGAAUAUUGGUCAAUGGGCGUAAGCCUGAACCAGCCAAGUCGCGUGAGGGAUGAAGGUUCUAUGGAUCGUAAACCUCUUUUAUAAGGGAAUAAAGUGUGGGACGUGUCCUAUUUUGUAUGUACCUUAUGAAUAAGGAUCGGCUAACUCCGUGCCAGCAGCCGCGGUAAUACGGAGGAUCCGAGCGUUAUCCGGAUUUAUUGGGUUUAAAGGGUGCGUAGGCGGCCUUUUAAGUCAGCGGUGAAAGUCUGUGGCUCAACCAUAGAAUUGCCGUUGAAACUGGGGGGCUUGAGUAUGUUUGAGGCAGGCGGAAUGCGUGGUGUAGCGGUGAAAUGCUUAGAUAUCACGCAGAACCCCGAUUGCGAAGGCAGCCUGCCAAGCCAUGACUGACGCUGAUGCACGAAAGCGUGGGGAUCAAACAGGAUUAGAUACCCUGGUAGUCCA